UCGCGAUCUUUUCAUUUUAAUCGCAAUUCUAAUAUAAUAUCGAUUUAAAUUUGUUUUUCGGCAUUGAUAUUUGCAAUAGCCGUGAAGUUUGCUUUGUUUACAAACCCAAAAAUUUGACAUUUCUCUUCGAGACAACCCAGUUUCCUAUAUUUUCGGGCGGUGAUAAGCACCAUGUCGACCGAGCGACGAAAAAUGCUACAAAGGUGCUGGAAUCUAUCCCCGCCAUGUCCCCUUCAAGCAACACUGCCUAUCGUUUCAGCCAAGAUGUAUAGAAGUAUUACUAAGGCGUUUAACAUUUUUAUUUACGUGUUGUGCCUGGUGCUUGGGUGUUCAUUUUUAUAAUUCAGUUUUACAAGCACUGAUUUACGAGAUGGCUUACUGUGCUGGUCAUGAUUGCGGAACAACACGUUCGCAAAACAAUAGAACAGCGCGAACUCGUCCAAAUAUACGCCCAACAUCCUUCAUCACAGUUCAAAGCCGUUUCAUGAUCACGAGGUACACCAAGCUUAGUUUUAUUGCCAACAGACCUUAGUUCAUUAGGCAGAAGAUUAGGUUCAGAGAGCCAGCUAACAUCAUCGAAUUCAACGCACUACAGGCAUGGAGAAUAAUUUAAUGACACACAUCACACCGUUCAGCUCUUUCCAAUGCAUCGGUUUUGCUGAAUAAACUCAACCACCUAUCGUAUAUGCUACAAGUAAAAUACUUCACUACUUACCAAGGAAGACACAGAUUUUAGUGUUUUAGGCGGCUCGCACACCGGAGCAAUGAGCAACUAGCAACUGUCAACAUGCAAUAAGCAAUAUUAUCACCAAUGGAUUUUUCCAUUUAAUCUUUGUUGAUCUCGCACACCGACGCAAUACGAUAUCGCUGUCGCCUUUACAGAGCAACACAUGUCGCUAGCAACACGGCGUGUCGGUUGAAUAGCAACUUAUCGCUCAUAUUUUGACAAGUUUCGUACAUUAAGGCGAUUGUUUGCAUAAUGUCAGGGGUUUUUAUUGCUCUGGUAUGCGAAGAACAACAAAAUAUGUUUCCUGUUGCAUAUUGUGUACUGCAGUUUGCUAGUUGCUUAUUGCUGCGGUGUGCGAGCCGCCUUAAAUUCCAUCUCUAUUUCAAUAAACCUGUUAUAUCUGUUCCAGUUGGAGCGUCGGAUAGAAUAAAAAUCUUUUUUAGGAGCAGCGGAAAUCUUGUCAAGACAUACCACCAACAUCUGGACAACAUGAAUUAUUCAUCGCUGCUUUAUGAACACGAGCCACACAGCUCGGUUUCAUUGCCAACGAGCCGCAGUUCAUGAUGCAGACCAUUGAAGACCCAGCUAGCAUCAUGCAUUCUAGGCGGGAAAACACAAUCUAGUUUAUAUGCCGUUAGUUUCAUUACUUUCGAACCAGACAUCGUCGCCAAUGAUCGUAUCGCAACACGAUGGCAAAGCAGCAGGUUCAUCCAACCCUCAACCGUAGCAUGUACUUCAACAAAUUUCCCAAGAAGCUCUCAUGCUGCAACAAAGAAUCAACGUGCAAAUACCCUGCUAACAUAAACAAAUUCGACGCACUUUUUCUUCUGUGAAAGCUUUGGACCACUGCGACUACUAGUUUGAUCUAUUGUGAUGAUUCAAGGCAUUUAUAUAAAAUCUAACGCAUGUUUCUUGCUACCGAAUCUGAGCUGCAUCCACCGCACAACCACAAGAUAUACAUCAACAAGUUCGCCAGGUAAUGAUAAUGUUUAUCGAUGAAUCAACUGUAACAGUCAAAUUUUACACAAGCAACUUCAGGCAUUUCAGAUAGAAAAGAUAAUCUUGAUAAGUUAAGUCAUAGCUAUCCGAUAUUACAAUCCAAUAUUAGCAUUAAUCAGUUUUUGAAAACAUUUUGUAGAUACAAAUCAACAAGGGUCGCCAAUUGUCACGCAACAUGUUUAAAUAGUGAUACAGUAGAUGCACCCACCAACAUUAUACACCUCAGUACAUUUUCCAAACAGCAGUCGGGUUCAUUAAUAAAUAAAAUACAAGGAUUGUCGCGAUUGGUCAUUUCGCCACGCACAACAGCAUAACAGCUGUUCUCAACUUUUUUAUUUAAUGAUAUAUUUAUGUUUUUCUUUUUUUUUGUAUAUUUUUCUUAAAUUAUGUAAAUUUUUAUUGCCUGUUAAGACCAUGGCGCAUCAACUUACGAAUGACAAUGUAAAGGUAAUAAAUUAAUACAGUUAGAAAACUACGAUCAGUUCGCACAACAGAAUAUUAAAUACUAUAGUGUUUAAAAAUGUAAUUAUGAAAGAGAUUUAUAAAAUACUAAAUUAUUUAAAAAAUAAAAACUAUU